GGAACCUGUACUGGUGAGUGGACGUGUACGGUGCCCGUCAGGCGGUUCCCGGAUGCAGCGAACAGAAACAUGGAACGGGUAGUGGUGGAUGUGCCGAUCAACAACGGUUUUUCCUUUGCCUGCCCCUCUACAACCCCACGAAAGCGCCAGGUGCGUUUUUCAGCGCGGCAUGACAUCAUCCUUCUGCGAGAGGUUAUCGCACAGAACCCCUUCGCCUCCAAAGAACCAGGACGGAUCUGGGCCCGUGUGGGGGAGAUUAUCACUGCAGCUCUCCAGGAAGAAAACUUUGAGGUGGAUGCCAGGAGGUGCAGAGAGAGGACCAUGCUGCUGCUAGACUACUACAAGAAACAAGACUUUCCCAGUCUGCGCAGGUUUGGAACAGAGAGGUUGUACGCUCAAAAGGAGGAUCUACUCCAUGAGGUCUUGGAGCUGGAGGCUGAGAAGGGGCUCCUGGCCAGUGGUGAAGUGCCAAAGUACCAGGACGAUGAGCGGAGAAGUCGAGCCAUAGAAGAACUAAAUCUACCAGAACAGGACAAGCCAAACAUCACUAUCACGCACACACCCACUGCAGAACCAGAAGACGACCGCGAAGAAACGGCAGAGCUUUCAGCAGCUCCCACAGCCAAGCGGCCCUGCCAGUGUUGCUGCCAGACCUACUCUGAGAUUCUCAGCUUUCUGGAGAAACGCUCAGAGGCGGAGCAACGACUUCGAGAGGAGGAGCUCGCCCUGCGCAGAGAGGAACUGGAGAUUCAGAGGAGUAAGAUCGCUCUGGAGAGAGAACGUCUGGGAGCUGAGAGGAAGGAGAGGGAGCGGAGAUUUGAGCUCGAGAGCCAGGAGAGGCAGGUCAUCUUGGACCUGCUGAAAGAGAAGGUGCUCAAAGGCUGACAAAGACAGACUGGAUCACCUGGAUUUUAAGGACAUCUUUGACCAAGUGUGCGUGUGUGUGUGGGUCAGGGAGGGCAUAGUUGACUGCUAAAAAGAGGAAGGAAUAGAGCAAAACUGGAAGUGAAGAGAUCAAAGAGAGGAACAGUGAGUUGAUAUUUAUAAUGAUGACCUAGAAGACAGCCACUUGCCUUUAUCUGUCUGAACUGUCAAACAAAUAAGCAAGUUUGUGAGCGUGGACACUGCUUAGCCACACAAGUAUAUACAGCUGCUUCAAAAAAUAUUCACACCCCUUCACUUUUUUUAAACAUUUUGUUGUGUUGUAUUUUUAAAUGGAUAAAAUUGGCAUUGACAAAAUCAAAUAUUGAAAUCUCUCAUUGACAAAACUUUUCAGACUCUUUUUCUGUGGGCAAGGAACGUGACCAAGAACCCAAAUGUCACUCAAAUAGACUCUGAGUAGUCCCACUCCCAGUAAAAGACAAAUGACAGCUUGCCCGGAGUUUGUCAAAUGACAUUUAGACAACACUCAGAGUGCAAGAGAAAAGAUUCUCCAACUAAACUGCAGAACUCCAAGCCCUACAGUAUGUCUGGCAAACACCUGGCCAAUCCCAUGCCCACCAGGAAGCACGGUGGUGGCAACAUCAUGCUAUGAGGUUGCUUCUCAGGGACAUGGAAUGGGACAUUAUCAGAAUGGAAGGGAGAAUAAAUUCAGUCAAAGAAGAUUUUUAAGAAACCUGAGCCAGAGUGCAGUGACCUGAGACUGGGGCAAUGAUUCGCCUUUCAGCAUGACAGUGACUCAGAGGAUACGGUCAGUCAGCUGGUGUGACUUCAGUACCAGUCGCUGACUGUUCUUGAUUCGCCAAACCGAAGCCCAGACAUACAGUCUACAGAAUAUCAGCAGAGGCUUGAAGAUUGCAGUUCUAAGAUGCUUAUCAUCCAAUCUGAUUGGGCUUUAGAGGAUCUGCUAGAAAGAAUGGAAUAAAUUGCUCAAUUCCAGGUGUGCAAAUCCUUCAGAAAUCUCCCCAAGAAGGCCUUAAGGUGUAGUUGCUGCCAAAGGGACUUUUACAAGGUAUUGAAUUAAGCAUGUGAGUAUUUUUACAAGUAAGAGAUUUCAGUUUUAAAUUUUUGAUACAUUUGCAAAACUUUUACUGUGUUACUGAGUGUAGAUUGAAGGAGAAAAUGCCAAAAAGUGAAGGGGCACUGAAUUCAUUUUGAAGUGACUAUAGACCUGACAGAACUAGUGACAGCAUCAGUGUUUGCCUAAGCCAACUGCUCAAACCCGAUUCAUAUAAAUGUUAAUAGACCCUCCCUGUGUUUCAUUCCUCAUGAAACAGAUUGCAUAAAGGUCCUAAAGUGCUGCAAUUAAUCGAGUGCCAUCUAAGGAAUGGAAUGUAGAAGUGGGUGUGGUGCGGCCAUUUAGGUGUGGUGACCCGCAGAGCUAAAACCGUCAGACAGGAUCUCAGUGUCUCAAGAUGGCAUGUUGCACAAAGUCGGUAAAUGCCUUUCCUCAUGUUGUCUGGCACCAACAGCAGAGUGAGUCGUGUCCACAGUGUAAAGGAGAGGAUUCCUUGUAGAGCCAGGUCGGCACAAAUAUAAAACUGACGAACAAGAGAUGAAUAUGUUUAAGCAAUUAAGCCAUGGUGCAGCUUAAGCUUUUGCAAACCCUGUAGCAUAUGCCAUAUUACCACUUUACACACCUUAUUUAGUCACUUUCUAUUUGAAGGCAUUUUAAAUAAAAAUAGAAAUAAAGCUAUAUUUUAAAGAGUCAGUUGAUGUAUUUUGACUGGUAAGCAAUUUUUUUUUUUUAACAACAAAAAUUCUCACUAACACAAGCCAUGAACUCACAUUCUAGAAAAAUAACAGACUGUUGGCAAUUUUCUGAAAUUAAAUAAAAUCGUGAUAGUCAUAAUUACGAGUGAUAAUAUCACAUCUUCUGUGUGCCAUAUUUCUUUUGCUGUAAGUAAUUUGUCAAACAUCUACAGUUUAAGUUGCUAAACCAAGGUAGUUAUUGGACAUUGGUUAAAGCUAGUGUUAC
ensembl:lncRNA